rnacentral:rRNA from 1 species
CGCGAAUGGCUCAUCACAACAGCUAUAAUUUACUUGAUCUUGACACAAUCCUACUUGGAUAACUGUGGUAAUUCUAGAGCUAAUACAUGCAUUAAAGCUCUGACCUCACGGGAAGAGUGCAUUUAUUAGAACAAAACCAAGCGGCCUCGGCUGUUUUCGGUUGACUCAUAGUAACUGAGCUGAUCGCAUGGUCUUGCACCGGCGACGUGUCUUUCAAGUAUCUGCCGUAUCAACUUUCGAUGGUAGUGUAUCUGACUACCAUGGUGAUCACGCGUAACGGAGAAUAAGGGUUCGGCUCCGGAGAGUUCGCCUGAGAAAUCGCGAACACAUCUAAGGAAGGCAGCAGGCGCGAAAAUUACCCACUCUCAGCACGAGGAGGUAGUGACGAAAAAUAACGAGACCGUUCUCUUAUGAGGCCGGUCAUCGGAAUGGGUACAAUUUAAACCCUUUAACGAGUAUCUAUGAGAGGGCAAGUCUGGUGCCAGCAGCCGCGGUAAUUCCAGCU